CUGCCAACCUUGACAAUCUCCUUCCCUCUUCCCUGGAUCCGGUUCCACUCAGGAAAUUUGAGGUGUAAAUCAGGAUGCCCCUCCCAGUGUAACGGGGAGAAUACUGCGCCGUGGGAGGUGCUGCUUCAAGGCUGUACGUUGAACGAGGUAGCUCUCAGGAACUCUCCCAAGCCUCUAUUGUAACGAGAUCAGGUAAUACAGACCUUGGGGUGACAUCCUUCUUCACAGAAUGGCGGCCGCCACUGGCAAUGUCCCCUCUUCCUGUGACUGCUUCGUUGCACUCCCACCGGCCACCGAAGGGAAAGAAGUGAUUUUUGGGAAAAACUCGGACAGACCACGGGAGGAAGUCCAGGAAGUGGUCUACUUUCCUGCAGCUGAACAUGCAAAGGACUCCAAGGUGGAGUGCACAUACAUUGAAAUCGAUCAGGUGGAGAAGACGCACGCAGUGAUUCUCAGCCGCCCAGCCUGGCUAUGGGGAGCAGAGAUGGGCGCCAACAAGCAUGGCGUCUGUAUAGGCAAUGAGGCCGUGUGGACGAUAGAACCUCUAGCAGAGAAGGAAGCACUGCUUGGAAUGGACCUUGUCAGGCUUGGGCUGGAGAGAGGUUCCACUGCCAAGCAAGCACUGGACGUCAUUACUUCCCUGGUGGAGCUCCAUGGCCAGGGAGGGAACUGCAAGGAGUCCCAGGAAGCAUUCAGCUACUACAAUACGUUUCUAAUCGUGGACCGAGGGGAGGCCUGGGUACUGGAGACAUCUGGGAGAUACUGGGCCGCUCAGCAAAUUACAGAAGGUGCCAAAAACAUCUCCAAUCAGCUGACCAUCACCACGGAAAUCAACGCGGAGCAUCCCGACCUUCGGAAUUAUGCCCAGGGUCAGGGAUGGUGGGACGGCGAGAGGGAGUUCAACUUCUCCCAGGUUUUCUCUCUGGCCAACCCGCCAGCGAGGAUGGAGGCGGCAAAGGCUCGUUACUCUGGAGGCUGCGAGCUGCUUCACAAGCAAGAAGGUAGCAUUAAUGCAGAGACUAUCAUGGACAUCCUACGCAAUAAGGAGACUGGGAUCUGCAUGGACUCUGGAGCAUUCUGUACCACGGGCAGCAUGGUGUCCAUCCUGCCCCAAGACGAUGACUUGCCUUGCGUGCAUUUCUUUACAGCAACCCCUGACCCAUCAAGAUCUGUCUUCAAGCCCUUUAUCUUCAUUGAUGAUGUGACACCCGUUCCUAUGGUGAUUUCUCCGUAUUAUGGGGAUGAGGAUCCUGUCCGGAAGCAUCCUCGGUUCCAGAGCAGUCGGGAUCGUCGGCAUGAGUUGUACAAGGCACAUCAGCAUGCCAAAGCCACCAUGGAGAGUGGGCAGGAGCAGGGUGAGAAGUUACACCAGACUAUGCAGAGCCUUGAGAGGCAGGGACUGCAAGCUAUCAAGAGCAUGUUGACCAGUGGAGGGUCCUUUGACCCAGAAGAGAUGGCAGAUUUGUUCUUCGACUGUGUUGACACGGAGAUCAAGUUUUAUAAAUAGACCACCCCCCCCCCUUCUGAGGUGUCACUUCGCAACUCCUACCAUAUUGAUAACUGCCAGACUGGUGACCUGCAGAAGCAAAGGGAAUGGGUGCCUUCCUUGGAGCCAUUAGUGUCUGUAGAUCACGCAUGUGCACACACACACACACACACACACACACACAGUCACCUGCCCAAUGAAUUCACUGUUGUAUUGAUUGUUAUCUGAGCCAAUAUUGCCAUUUGCUGCUGCUAUUCUUAAGAGAUUGCCUGUGAACCGACUGGUGGCCAACCUGUCUGAAGUAUUCAACGGUGAGCUAACUUAUGUAGAGUUGAUUUAAUUUCUCCUACCCCUUCAGUUUUACCUGUUUCAAUGUCCUUCUGAUGUCCCAUUACUGGGAAUGAUUCGACGUACAGUUAAGUGAUAAAAUUAUGUAGCAUUUACUUUAUUUCCAGUUUAAAGGCACCUUGUAUCAUGGAGAAAAUCAUAUAUAUUUACUGGCGUCUCUCUGUCUGUGGUCUGAGGGAUGAAAUUUCUAGUACAUUUAUAUUUUACCUUGUAAUUAAAGACCGCCACCAAGA